UUUACUUUAGUUUGCCUGCUGCUUACUUCUCUGAACAGUUCUUCUCCCGUUCUCUGUACACUCUCUGCACACUUUUCUCCCCUUUGUGCAUUAUUGCUCAUUACUAUUGUGUUCCAUUAUCUGUAACUGGUAUGUUACCUAUUUAAGAUACAACUUCCAAAACAACAUGCUCCUAUUAAUUUUUCACUUCAUCUUGUUUCUUGUGUGCUGUUACCUGUGGUUCUGUUGCUGUUAUUGCUACUAGCAUGUAUUCAGGCCUGCUUAGUUACUUGAUAGUCCUGAAACCUCUUCCUGAGGUUGAUUAUGUUUGGAGUUUGGUAUAGUAAGAACUGAACUCUUAUUUUUAGCCAUGUCUGAUUACUUUUCUUUAAUGUGUUGUAUAUGUUUGAGUAGUUUCCUUGCCUAUUAGUUCCUUUCCCCUUUGACCCUGCUUAUGUGAUUCUCUGUUCUGAAACUGGUCAGUCCAAAUGAAUUUUUUGAAGAACUCUUUCAACUCUUCUUAGUGUUUUUUUCAAACUGUCUUUCAACACUUUUCAACUCUUUCAAACUCUAUCACAAUCUCACUACUCUUAGAACUUAGGUUCUGCCCCCUUAGUGUAAGCAUUGCUUUGGGAGCCCUGAGCACCCACUGAACUUUGAU
rnacentral:lncRNA from 1 species